rnacentral:rRNA from 1 species
AAUGGGUCAGCGACUUAUAUUCUGUAGCAAGGUUAACCGAAUAGGGGAGCCGAAGGGAAACCGAGUCUUAACUGGGCGUUAAGUUGCAGGGUAUAGACCCGAAACCCGGUGAUCUAGCCAUGGGCAGGUUGAAGGUUGGGUAACACUAACUGGAGGACCGAACCGACUAAUGUUGAAAAAUUAGCGGAUGACUUGUGGCUGGGGGUGAAAGGCCAAUCAAACCGGGAGAUAGCUGGUUCUCCCCGAAAGCUAUUUAGGUAGCGCCUCGUGAAUUCAUCUCCGGGGGUAGAGCACUGUUUCGGCAAGGGGGUCAUCCCGACUUACCAACCCGAUGCAAACUGCGAAUACCGGAGAAUGUUAUCACGGGAGACACACGGCGGGUGCUAACGUCCGUCGUGAAGAGGGAAACAACCCAGACCGCCAGCUAAGGUCCCAAAGUCAUGGUUAAGUGGGAAACGAUGUGGGAAGGCCCAGACAGCCAGGAUGUUGGCUUAGAAGCAGCCAUCAUUUAAAGAAAGCGUAAUAGCUCACUGGUCGAGUCGGCCUGCGCGGAAGAUGUAACGGGGCUAAACCAUGCACCGAAGCUGCGGCAGCGACACUGUGUGUUGUUGGGUAGGGGAGCGUUCUGUAAGCCUGUGAAGGUGUGCUGUGAGGCAUGCUGGAGGUAUCAGAAGUGCGAAUGCUGACAUAAGUAACGAUAAAGCGGGUGAAAAGCCCGCUCGCCGGAAGACCAAGGGUUCCUGUCCAACGUUAAUCGGGGCAGGGUGAGUCGACCCCUAAGGCGAGGCCGAAAGGCGUAGUCGAUGGGAAACAGGUUAAUA